rnacentral:rRNA from 1 species
CGCGAGCCCGCGGGCAUACACAUGCAGUCGAGCGGUAGCACAGGGAGAGCUUGCUCUCUGGGUGACGAGCGGCGGACGGGUGAGUAAUGUCUGGGAAACUGCCUGAUGGAGGGGGAUAACUACUGGAAACGGUAGCUAAUACCGCAUGACCUCGCAAGAGCAAAGUGGGGGACCUUCGGGCCUCACGCCAUCGGAUGUGCCCAGAUGGGAUUAGCUAGUAGGUGGGGUAAUGGCUCACCUAGGCGACGAUCCCUAGCUGGUCUGAGAGGAUGACCAGCCACACUGGAACUGAGACACGGUCCAGACUCCUACGGGAGGCAGCAGUGGGGAAUAUUGCACAAUGGGCGCAAGCCUGAUGCAGCCAUGCCGCGUGUGUGAAGAAGGCCUUAGGGUUGUAAAGCACUUUCAGCGAGGAGGAAGGGUUCAGUGUUAAUAGCACUGUGCAUUGACGUUACUCGCAGAAGAAGCACCGGCUAACUCCGUGCCAGCAGCCGCGGUAAUACGGAGGGUGCAAGCGUUAAUCGGAAUUACUGGGCGUAAAGCGCACGCAGGCGGUUUGUUAAGUCAGAUGUGAAAUCCCCGAGCUUAACUUGGGAACUGCAUUUGAAACUGGCAAGCUAGAGUCUUGUAGAGGGGGGUAGAAUUCCAGGUGUAGCGGUGAAAUGCGUAGAGAUCUGGAGGAAUACCGGUGGCGAAGGCGGCCCCCUGGACAAAGACUGACGCUCAGUGCGAAAGCGUGGGGAGCAAACAGAUUAGAUACCCUGGUAGUCCACGCUGUAAACGAUGUCGACUUGGAGUUGUGCCCUUGAGCGUGGCUUCCGGAGCUAACGCGUUAAGUCGACCGCCCUGGGGAGUACGGCCGCAUGUUAAAACUCAAAUGAAUUGACGGGGACCCGCACAGCCGGUGGAGCAUGUGGAUUAAUUUCGAUGCAACGGCGAAGAAAACCUUUUAUAUA